UUCCCGCGAGUGAACUCUCACAGCAUAUCAGUACUGCCGGAAUGGAAGCGAGUGGAACUAGCAACAUGAAAUUUUCCAUGAACGGUUGUAUCUUAAUUGGGACAUUAGAUGGGGCUAAUGUGGAAAUAAGGGAAGAAGUUGGAGAAGAUAAUUUUUUUCUUUUUGGUGCUCAAGCCCAUGAGAUAACCGGGUUACGGAA